AAGGAGCCGUCGGGCGCUGCGAGGCCUACAGCUGGAGGCGGGCCCGGCGCGGGGCAGAGGCCUCAGAGGGAAGAGGCGGCGGGGCGGGCAGCGGAGCCACCCCCGGGGCGGGCCCGGAGCGGUCGGCGCGGCGUUGGUUGCCAGGUCAUGUGGAACAACGUUGCCUUGUGCUCCAUUUGCAAGCCCUCCCCUCACCCGGUGUCACUGCUGCUGCCCAGACUCCCACCCUUGACUGAUGCCUUCAAAAGGACGUGUACGGGCUUCUGCAGCGAUAAGGAGCUGGCACAGGUAGCACAGGAUGGGACACACAGUGCACUGCCCAGCUGCUCAGUACGGAGCAAAGCCAGGCGCAGCCGGUGUGCGCAGACAUACCCAGUGCUGGAUGGACGCGUCCUGUCUGUGUACCGACACGUGUUUGAGGAGAAUCUCAGGAACAGUGAGGCUGUUAUUAAAAGAUACUCGGAGUUGCUGCAGAUGGUCAGUAAAGGAGGGGGAGAGAAUGCCAUCCUGCGGCACACCCAGAGGAACAAGAAGCUGUUUGUUCGGGAGCGCCUGAAGCUGCUUCUUGAUGAUGAGGCUUUCCUGGAGCUGUCUCCCCUUGCAGGCCUCAAUCUGCCAUAUGGUGACGUCCCUGCUGCUGGAUGCCUCACGGGAAUUGGAAAGAUCUGCGGGAUUUGGUGCGUCUUCGUAGCAAAUGAUGCAACUGUAAAAGGAGGAACUAUUUAUCCAAUUGGAGUGAAGAAACAGCUGAGAGCUCAGGAAAUCGCCAUGCAGAACAGGCUGGUGUCCGUGUACCUUGUUGACAGUGGGGGAGCAUUCCUACCGCUACAGUCAGAGCUGUUCCCUGACAAGUUGCACGGUGGAAGAAUUUUUUACAAUGAAGCAAUAAUAUCUGCUAUGAAGAUCCCUCAGGUGGCAGUGGUGUGUGGCUCUUGCGUUGCUGGAGGUGCCUAUGUCCCAACCAUGGCAGAAGAAGCUGUGAUUGUAGAUAAAAUUGGAACGCUGUUCCUUGCUGGUCCACCUCUGGUGAGAGCUGCUACUGGAGAACAUGUGUCUCCAGAGGACCUUGGAGGAGCUGCUCUGCACUCUAGAGUCAGUGGCUGCAGUGACCAUUUUGCAUCUACAGAAAAGGAAGCCUACGAGUGUGUUCGAAAUAUUAUCUCAACGCUGAAUUAUGAGCCGGUGCCAGAAGAGCUCGUGGAGCAUGACCUUCCUCUCUAUAGCUCUGAUGAGCUCUUGGGGCUGGCACCACGAGAUUAUAGCUGUACUCUUCCUGUAAAAUUGGUUCUGAGCCGUCUGCUGGAUGGAAGCAGGUUCCAGGAGUUCAAGGCUGACUAUGGAACGACAUUAGUAACGGGAUUUGGCCACGUGGAAGGGCACUUGGUGGGAGUGGUGGCUAACAAUGGGGAGCUCUCUCAUGCUGCUGCUCUCAAGGGCAGCCAUUUUGUGCAGCUGUGCAGUCACCGUGCCAUUCCCAUCCUCUUUUUCCAAAACACUGCUCCACACGCAGCAGAGCCAACGAGCAUCUCACAGGCAGAGGCUCAGGCCAGCAGGUUGAAAGCCCAGGCCUCCAUGAUGGCUGCUGUCGCCUGUGCAGCUGUUCCCAAAAUAACCAUAGUGAUCGGUGGCUGUUUUGGGAGUGAAAGUUACGCCAUGUGUGGGAGAUCAUUCAGUCCAAACUUUCUGUUCUUAUGGCCUAAUGCAAGAGUUGCUCUUGUGGAUUCAAGACAUUUGUCCAUGGUCCCACAAGCUGAGGGCAGUGAUUGUACAGAUGAAUCCGAGCUGAAACAUUUGAAACAAAAGCUAGAGGAAGAGAGCAGUGCGUUUUACUCUUCUGCCAGACUCUGGGAUGAUGGUGUAAUUCUCCCCCAGAAUACCAGGAAGGUAAUUGCACAGUGCUUGCAGAUUGUAGAGCAGCAGAAGUACCAGGCACUGCAUCCUUACCAGCAUCCUGUGAUGAGAAUGUAACUGCAGCCCUUCUCAAGUAAUCACCCUUUGAAGUUAGCACCUUACGUUGGAAAGCUUUAAUAAUAUGCAGAAUUCAAACAGCGCUUUGAGAAAAGAGAUGGGAAAGAGAAGACACAUGGCUGCAAACUAGACAAGAGUAAUGAACGUAAGCUUUAGCAAAGCAGAGAAUGCUGCCUGCAAAGUCAGAUUGCCAGAGCACCGUGGAAGGGCUCCCCUCAGCUUGCUCUGAGAUACCAGUGCAGUGACCAGGAGGUGAGUUCAAUCCAAAACACCCACACAGGAUAAAAGUUACCUCUUCUCAAAGCAUGCAACAGCACAUUGACUUCUACAUAAUAUUACCACAUGUACAGGGACUGAGGUUACACUGUGCUGUUUCAUGCAUCUUUCUCUCUGUUGCAUCUGCAAAAAUUAAUCUUGUAAAAGAAAUGGUAUGGUUUAUUGUGUUGUACAUCUUGAAAUUAGGCCAUGGAGUAUAUUUGAGAAACAUCUGGGUAAGUGUUUUGAGAAAUAAGCAACAAAAUGGAAAUUCUCAGUCUUAAAUAGGGCCAAGGCCAUGGACACGGCACUGGGAAGCCCAUAACAGGGGUUUGGAACUGGAAGGGCUGUAAGGCCCCUUCCAACCUAAGCCAUUCCAUAGUUCUGUGAACUAAGUACUCACAAAUAAAUGACCUAAAUUCCUUCAGUGUCACUUUCUGAGUGCUUGCAAAUGAAGACAGCAUCUUUUUGAAGCUGGGAGAGGCCUAACACGGCGUGUUGCAGGCAGCAGUUACGCUCUUUUGAAGAGUCCAUGGAAAGUCACAGGGAUGUUCACCUCCACUUCAGCCCUGGCCACUUCGCUCAUGUCCUUGGCGUUCAGGAUCAGGAGGUAGGCAGGCUUUGGCCCUGAGCCGGGGCUGAUCACAAUGCUCAGCACCACCCCUGGGAGGUGACAAAAACAGGCAGUCAGCACCGCCAGGGGCUCUCCUGGCUUCACAUGUUCCUUCUCAGGGAUGAGGAAUUCAGGGAAUGAGUAGAUGCCCUUUAAGCCUAGAGCUGCCACCUUCAAAAAUAGGUACAGGGCUGGCAGUGUGUGAAUAAAUGCGUGCAGUUCUUGGCAUGAGUGCAAUUCUGUGUCCUCCACAGCCAAAACCUGAAUUCGCCCCCCUCCUACACGGGGAGGAGGGGUUUACAAAUAAAAACAUACUUGGUUUGAGGCAGGUUUAAUUUCACAAAGCUUGGCCAUCUGGAAUUCUUUAAGUAGUGUAGUUCCUGAUGGAAAAAGGCUGGGAAAUGGGAACAGAUGAUCUGAACCUACAGAUUUUUUCGUGUGUUCUCAGAAACUCACCAGCAGUGUUAGAACAGGGCACAUCUCACCCAGGAGCGGCCUCUGCAGGCCUUCUGGCUCCUGCAUGUCCCUGGUGCACGCUGGAAGUAGGUCUUAGCACCAGCCAGUGGACACAGACUGCAAACAACUCCAAUUAACAAGCCAAAAAUCAUUAAUUACCGUCAUCCUCCUCCAGAGCAUCUGGAUGGGAAACGAAGAUUGGCUCUGAUGGGUACGAAUCUGGCUCCUGCCACACCCAGGUCUCCUUUGUUUUAACAUUCAGCUUGCAAAGCUAAGUGGAGAUAAAAAAACCACAUCUCAAAAAUGCCUUUACUUGCCUUUAAGCAGAAGCUCAUCAAUAAGAUGUGCCUUCGCUGAUAGUUACCCUGUCUGGAACAAAGUGGUUCAGUCCCAGCCCAUAUGUGUAUGUGUAGGGUUUCCCACCGUAUUUCUUGUAAUUGAUCUGUGGAAAUUCAAAGGCUGCAAAAAUAGGUGUAUAUGCAUGAGAGUUAGGACAUGGAUGGCUGAUGGUGCUCGUGCUGCCUCUGUGGCUCAGAGCUGUUGUCUUACCAUGGCGUGGCCCUGAGAAAAUAACUUCUGGCUCCAGCCAGACAGUCUCAUCGCUGCGCAGCGUCGCGGUGGCUGUCGUGUAGGGCAGGGUUACCAGGUUCUUGCCUGUGUCGGCCUGGGACAAAGAACAACACCCAAGACAAAUGGAGAAACACAUUUCUGAGAGUGGGCUGCAUGGUUUGCUUGAGCAGCAGUGCAAGAUGGAGUACGGCUCAGAUAGACUUGUCCAGUGAGGAGGACCACAACAGAGGGAGCUGUGAAUCGCUCAGCUCUGCACCAGGCUGACCAGUGCUUUAAGGAUUAAACCAGCAGUGCUGGGCUGUGCGCGGUACCUUGUCGAUGCGGAGGGGCAGCACGUAUCUGCGGGCUUCAGGCUGGGGGGCCUUCUCUGCCUGCUUCUUUACUUCAUCCCAGUUUGCUCGGAGGUUGGCUAAGUAGAGGUAGUUGUAAACAAACUCAAAUCUGCACAGAAAUGGGGUCAGAGACAGCAAAGAAGUCAUUGCCAGGAACGAGUUCCAAACCAGCUAUUUUUUUUCCCUAGAAUUCAAUUAAGUGACAUGAGCCCUGUUCUGCUCCACUGGGAGUCGCAGGGCCAGACCAGCUCGGGGCUGUGUUUCUGUCUUAGUGUGGGGCCUUGACAUGGAAGCAUUGGCACACACUGCCCAGGGAAUGGGCAGGUUCCCAUCCCUGGGGGUGUUCCAGAACUGGGGCGAUGUGGUACUGAGGGACCACAUCAGUGGGCGUGUGGGUCUCAGAGGAGUGGUUCUAUGAAGGCAGUGUUGGCACCCACCCCUUCCACGUGCAGAGGUCAACAAUGAGGAACCCGUUAUCCUCGAAGGUGUUGAUGUGAUGGAAGAGGUUGAAGGCUGAGGUCCGGUACUUGAUAUUGAGGAGCCGCCCUUUCUUUUUCUCUGCCACGUGAAGCCAGACCUGAAAGGCAAGCAGCAGGCCAGUCUCAGUGCUGAGUGGGCAUGCUGUGGUGGGCACAGGUCCUGUGUGACCCACUGCCUUACCCCCAUGGUCUCGUUGGACUCAAAGCAGUCCAUGUAGUUGGCUCCCCAGAGGCUCCAGGAAGAGAGGAACUUGAGGAGGUUGAUCUUCACCGGGGUUUCGACAAAUACGAUGUAGUUUGGGGUCAGACCAAAACUGUGGGAACACACACAGCUCAUGGAGGCUCCACGCACAGUGCAGGAGCACAGGACAGUGUGUGUGCAGUCAGCCAGCUGAGCUUGGCAGGAGUUACCUGUGCACGUAGGAGGGCUUAAAUCUGUCACUGCAAGGGAACUGCACCACCACCUCUGACUUGUUAAUUGGGUCCUCCUUGUCUGCAAAGGACAGCGCGUGGUUACGGGGAGCUUCAAACCAUGUGCUGCCCUGUUAGCAGUGCCUGCCCAGCAAGGCCUCUGCCUCUAGCACAAAGGAAGAUUGUGAUCUAGAGCAUAAGUGUCCAACUUGAUAAUUUCAUGGUUUGGGUGCACCUUUUUUUACGCUUUAAUGGAAAAAAAAGUUUUGUUAUUUAUACACAUUAACUAUAUUAUGGUUUGUAUGUGGCCCAAGGCAGUUCUCUUGGCUCAGCCAUGCAGGCCAAAAGGUUGGACACUCAUAGUCUAGAACCACUUAAAUACUUGUUUUAAAGAUAACAUUUCUACAGCUGAACAAAAGAAGGAAAGCCAAACAAAGAACUCUGGUGACAAAACACAUCUGAGGAAUGAGGAGUAGUUUAUAAAACAAGAUUUUCACGAGGUCAUUUGGAGGCGCGUUGAACUGACCUGCCUGCAGUGGAGGGAUCCGUAUGAUGUUGUAGGCCAGCGAGAAAUUUUUCCCAAAACAGUUGCCAAUGUUGUAAACUGUGCCAUCGUUCUCCACGUGGGGGUGGGCUGUGGCCCCAUUGACGGAGACGUACUUGCAGAGAUCCACCUAGAGAUGGGGAGCGGGGAGCUGUGGGCUGCGCGGGCAGCCCUGGGCCUUGUCUGUCUGUGAUGAGGGUGAGCAGUGUGGGAAAGGAGGUGAGGCUGCCAUGUGUUAGGAGCUGUGUGCCAAAACCUACCUGCUUAAUUGUCUCUAGGGUGUCUGGGUUAAUUUUGGUUAUAAAGUUGGUCUCCGUACAGGCGUAAUAAUCCUCACCAACAGGGUAGACAUUAACGAGGGCGUUAUCGGUGACCUCUACCCCUUUAAAGUAGGAGAAAAACCUGUGUGGAGGAAGGCAGCGAGGUCAGCAGAGGCCCCAUGGCAUGAAGCUGCAGUGCCUGGCAGGGCUCCGAUACCUGGAGAAAAUGUUCUUGCAUGGGUCUGGGUAGGCGUAGGUACCAAAUUCAGUUAUCACGAUCCUCUUCUCUGUCAUGGCUCGCACGUAAGCAUCUGUCCUGACGAACCUGAGGGAGUGAGGCACGUUGCAUGCAGUCACACCAAAGCAACAAGCAAUGCAAUUAAAAUAAACACAAGUAUUUUUUGUGGUGAGGCUCUUGAGAGCUCAGUCCAGCCCCCAGCAGCAACCAGGGCUGCAUUGCAGCAUGUGAAGUGCUGGACCCUGGGCAUGGCGGGCAGCUGCAGCCCCCAGGAGCAUGUUGUCACUGUGGCUGCAGGCAGCCCAUGCUGUCCUGAUCUUCUCAGAACAUUUCUGGACUGUAGGAGAAGCUGUUAUUUGCUGAGUGUGCUGUUCACAGAACUGUAGCAUGGCUGGGUUUGAGGGACCUUCCAUCCUGUCCAGUUCCAACCUGGUGCCAUGGGCUGCUCAAGGCCCCAUCCAGACUGGCUGUGGCACCUCUGAGGAUGGGGCAACCCCACUUCUCUGGCAGCCUGCCCCAGUGCCUCGCUUCAGGAGAGCUCCCUGCUGGAGCUCCUGCAAUGAACACAGACCCAGAGCGCAGCAGUCCUUGGCUGCUACCUGCGGUGGUAGGUGACGUGUCCCUCCUUGAAGUCGAACUUGUGCAGCAGUGCCUGGCCAUCGAAGAGGUGGUAGAACGGCUCUGCCCCGACCUCAAAGAGGCCAGGCCCGCAUCGCAGGAGGCUGCCUCUGAGCCAGGUGGGGAUCCUGCCUGCAGGAGAUGGAGGAGCACGGUCAAAACAUUUCAUAUUCUAUUUUUUUAUCCUGUGUUUAUUCAGUUAUAAGAAUUAUUAUCUAAACACAAGGUGAUGGAUGCUUUUGGAAACACAGAAUCAUUCAUGUUGGAAAAGCCCUCCAGGAUCCCUAAGCCCAACCACUGCCCUUAUUCCUCAGUGCCUCAUCCCACAGCUCUGAACGCCCCCAGGGAUGUGAGCCCAGCCUGAGCGCUCUGUGGAGCAGAGAUGUCCCCCAGCACCCAGCCUGCCCCUGCCCUGGCACAGCGGGAGGCCGGCACCUCUCGUCCCAUCGCUGUUCCAUGGCAGCAGAUGCUGACCCCCCUCAUCCCAACCUCCUGCCAGGAGCUGUGGGGAGCAGUGAGGUCUCCCCUGAGCCUCCUCUGCCCUAGAGAGAAACCCUUUAUGAGCCUUUAGGACUAUGGUUUCUUCUUACUCUACAGAGCCGUAGGACAAGGAUCCUUGGAACACCAGUUCCAAGCAGUUCUCUGUCCUUCCUCUGCUCCCAGUACAUCAACUCGGUGAUGUCCCAAACACGUGAACUUCCUCGAUCUCAUUUAAUUCCAUGUCCCAGGACCUGCAACCCCCCAGACCUGGGUUCUGUGGCCCCAGUGCUCUGGAGAGCAGUGUGGGGCUCAUAGAAAGGAGGCAGUGAGGGCACAGACCUGUGACAUGGGCAGUGACGGGUGAGGACAGCUCCUCCACUGUCUCAAAGAGCUUCUUGUAACCUCCCGCGGGAUGCUCCACCCUGCAAGGGACACCAGACCUGUGUUGGCAGCUUCCAGGUGGUGCUGGGAGGACAACGCUGGGCUUGCAAAAACCAAUGAGGUGAGCAGGGAGAAACAGGAAGCCUUGGGGGUACGGAAGGGGAACCAGCAGCAGGACAGAAGGUGCCUCAUUCCCAACAAGUGGUACAUGAUGGGCACAGAGGACAAACCAAGAACAUCCGUCACAUCAGGAAGCAGGACGCCUUUCAAUAACAAACACCCACCUUUCCUCCCAAGCCUUGAAUAAUUUUUACAUUGUUAAGCAAAGCGUUUUGCAGUACGCAGCUGACAAUGAUUUGCUAAGCUCCAAUUCCUAUCUAUAGCAGAGCACGCGGUUUGCAUGGCAUGUGGUCCUUGUCUCUAUCACAGGUACAGGCCUUGGUGCCCCCAGACCCCGCACCAUCCCAACCUCACCACCCCAAGGAGCAGCCCCCCCCACCCCAUGUAGAGGAGAGCCCCGGCAGCACUCACUGGCUGUACAUUGUCUCCGUGCAGGAUUUGAGGCUCCUGGAGCCACAUGCGGGUUUUUAUGGGGAUGCAGAAGGGAGUGACAGGAGCUGCGUGCAGCCAAUGGGCUCAGCGCUGGAACAGAGGCGGCUUUCAGGCUGAAAUCCUCCCGAUGCCUUGCGGGGCUUUGUCUUGCUGUUCACACAAAAAGCAGCUUUCAGGGCUUUUUCUGAGCCCUAAAUUCCUCCCGAGCAGAAGAGAUUACACAGGAAAACAAAACAAAACAGAGGAACUGGAGCUGCACUUCACUGCUCUGUGCUGCAGUCACUGCAUCCCCAUCCUGUGCUGUGAAACCAGGAGACACCAGUGAUGGCAGGGACAGGUGUCACCGCCCAGCGCCACCAGCCACUGUCUGUCUGUCUCCUAGAACCACACAAUCAAUAGGGUUGGAAAAGCCCUCCAAGCUCCCCAGCCCACCCCCCCACGUCCCUCCAUGCUGCAUCCCCACGGCUCUGGGCACCCCUGGCUGGUGACCCCAGGCAGCUGAGCAGUGCUGAGCGCUCCUUGGAGAAACAGCAUCUCCUAAUAUCCAACCCAAGUUAUCAGUGAGAUCUGAGCUGUGUUGGAAGUGACAUUUCAGCUUAACAUGUUCUGAAAUGAAUCUCCUCCAAGUGAGCCACAACACUCAAACCAAGUUAAGGGUUUAAAAAAAGCAGACUAAACAUGUUUAUAUGAGGUUAAUUCUUGCGUGAAAACAAGUUAAAAAGCCACAGUGUGUACACGAGCUCGUGGGCUUUUGCAAGAGCAGAGUGGAACGUGAGAAGCAGCCCUGGGCCCUUUGCUCACACCGACCUCCCCUCCCAGAGCAAAGGGAACAAAGCUGAACCGAAGCACUGCUCGGCUGGCAGCGCUCAGCCCUGAGCACCGUGUGCCAGUACAGCCGCACCGAAACUUCCUAUGUGAGUGCAAAACAACCACAAAUCCUUCCUGCCGUCACUGAUCUUAGACCAAAGCCACACUCCGUGCAACAGAUAACCCCGUUACACUGCACUGACAGCUUACAGCCAGUUGUGAUUUCAGGCCUGAUGAGCUGCUCCCCAAGCAGCUACAAAUAUGUGAAGCUAGCAGUGGUUCAAAGCUCACUUAGACCAAACGAUGGCUACAAAAGGCUUACGUUAAAAUUCUGCUUCCAUCUGCUGGUCAGUUUCUGUUUAUUCAAGUCUCUUAAAACCUCAGAAGGGAACAUUAAAUAAUUAAACAACAUUAAAUAACAUGGAUCAAGGACUGAAUAACAAGGGCAAGCUGCUGAAAGGCAAAUCCUAAGAAAUGUGAGCCUAGCAAGCUGCUUAAUUAGAACACAACUAACUAACUAACACAUUUAUGAAACACAACAGUCCAAGGAGCAGAAGCAGGUUUAGGCAGGUGUGGGAUGCUCAGCAGCUGUCCACAGGCAUUAAAACCACUGACAGCCAUCAGCUGCUAUGCAAGUACCCACAGGGCACUGAAGUGGUGCUAAGAUUGGCUGGAACUGAGCGUUCCCUCAUUUGCCAUCGACAAAGUGUUCAUCCCUAAAGGACAAAACCACCUAAUAAUGAUGUACCGUGUAGAAGUGACAAACCUCAGCUAAGAGCCUUAUGAAUAACAGCACCAAAGUGCAUGUGUGUGUAUCUACAUAUGUUAGGUUGGAACCUCAUUUAUGAGAACACUUGAAGCUGUAUCUCACAGAGACACCAACACAGAUCCACUCCUUAAUUCUGGAAACAAAUCAGGGAAACUCAGCCUAUUGGGAUCCUGCCCAUUGUCCCACUAUCCAGUGCUGUUUGAGAAGUCCAUCAUUCCACCCAGAAUAAGCACUCCAGGAAAACAUCAGGAAUAUACACAACACUUUUAAUAUAAAUAAAUAUUUUUUUAAAAAAGAAGUGUUUCAGAUGAGAGGAGAAGUAUUUUAAGGACCAGAUAAUUCCUUUCUGGUGGAUUUCUGCCCCCCUUAGAAAUAAAAACAAGUUUUUAUUUAGUUCCAAACUCAACUUCGCUUUCUCAAAAUGUUUGUCUUCAAGCAAAACAAGGCAGGCACUUCUCACACCAAGCACACAGUGAGGAACACACACAGACUGGAAGCCAUGGCACCAGUUCCUGAAUAAACACUAACACCAUUACAACGGGCACAUCUUUAGUUCUCCAUAUGAAAACCAUAUAUACAUUUUUGGCAAUUAGUAGCUUCAUUUUAACACGUAUCUUUCUGAGCACGACGUAUCGAUUGAUUGUAAACAGUUGAAAAACUUUUAGGAAAGGAAUAAAUAUUUAGAAUAACUCUCAAAGAUGAAAGUUCCUUUGGCACUUCUCAGCGUAGUGUUCACGUAAACAUCGCUCCCUCCCACACACACAGUCACUGCAGGUCCCCAUUCCCAGCAGCCCUUGGUUGGCCACUCGGACACACUCACUAUGGAAACAUGCAGCUGACUUUAGUAUCUCAGGCUGCGAAAUUUGGGUUUCCUCAGGCUGAGCAUUGGUUGUUUGAUGGUAGGUUUGUUCUCAAACAGAACUGCUUCGUUUUCUGUGGUUGGAAAUCUGUUCUGGUAUAUCAAAGGAUAUUCCUUCUGGAACUAGAAAAUACACAGGAAAACAUCACAUCAGGCUCCGCAGAAACAAGAAAGGCAACAGAAGGACAUGCAAGGCAGCUGUGUGGGACACAAGCAUGGAUCACAGGAUGGACAGAAAUUCAGAGAUACUUUAGUUGUAUCCUUUGUUUUCUUUUAGGGGUUGAUUAGGAGUCUUGGGUAGAAUUCACAGCUUACUGAAAGUUGUUACAUCACUUGUGAUUUGGAUGUUGAUGUAAGUUGGACGUAACCCCUCAGAAGCGGCGCACAUUUGGCUUUUCCUAGUUCAAGGCAUCAAAGCUGUAUAAUCACUGCAAAGAGCUGGGACUUAUCACGCUGCUCACUGUCCCAGCACAACCAGCAUGACCACAAUACAGCUAUCUUAGAGCUUAUUUGACACAAACCCCGCUAAUACAAGGCCCUUACAGUGUAAGCUGCUUCUGGCUUUUAGUGGGAGCUCACAAAAAUGUGAGCAUAUACUUCAGGUUUUACUAUUGGACUAUUUUAGUUUCUUUCCUUCCUUCCUGCUUCACCUGUUCUAAGUGCUGCCGUGCAUCACUUCUCACUGUUUGCUUACUCCAAAGUUUAGCUUUAACCAACUGUAAUUAACUACUUUUCUUUCCAUGCAGGAGGUUUCCAUGAACUUGAACACCAGGCCGGGCUUCUGAAGUUCAGUCCUGGAAAAACAAAGCUCCCAGAACACGUAUGAAGUCAGCGCUGCAGAAGCUGGUGGAAGGGGGCAUCGGAACAAACACGCUUGCUUUGAAAAGCUGCUUUUUCAAUUUGGAGUCACAAGACUUGCUUAAGAGAUUCCAGGACAAGUACAAUAGUGUUCAAUUGCUCAGAAACACUUGCCAAAGGUUUUCAUAAAAAGGAAAAAACUCCAGUAUUAAAUCCUGCCAGAACUGCUGCACUUCAGCUUUAGUAUUAGGCAAUGUGUUAGUAGGCCAUAGAAAUGCCAGAUAAUCCUGAGCAAUAUACAUGUUACAAAACAAAGCAAAGAAUGCUUCAGAGUUGUAAACAGAUUGAGUUUGGCCUUUUAAAGGAAGAAAAAAGCCACUAUUUUUGUCUCCUCUUAAUUUUAUACCCAUUGAUGUCAUUUUAAUGACAAUCUGUGUAGUUGGUACAACACCUUACUUAAUAGAGAGCAUCUUAACUAAGUUUCCUGCUGUUCUGAAUCACUGUUGCUAGAUGGUAUCAAAUGCUAUUUUAGAUAUUGUUCUUAAAAUACAAUCAUACCAUACAAGCCAAAAACCCACUAAUCAGCAAUCUUAAUGCCUGUCCUACAAGGCUGCUCAUGCUCUGAUAAUGGUCUCAUUUCUGAGCUCUUCUCCUUGCACAAAGUGUUUCCAGAAUUACUUUAAUAGCCAGUAAGUUCCUCACCUGUUUUAACUUUUUCUUCUUCUCUUUCACAGACAAGUUCUUAUCUUUGAUAAUGUUCUCUAACAGCUCUGCCACAGCAGCGUGAGAGGUAGAAACCUUCUGUUCUUCAAACUCCUGAGGGGUUAUUUGUUCACAGUACGAAUAGGUGGGUAAUAUGGCACAGAUUUCUUCCCCUGGAUAUUUGCACUGCAAUAAAAAUCCAAGAAAGAAUCAUCUAAUGUCAGAUGAUGUCCUGCUUUGGUAAGAAGCCCCCAUAUUUAACAUCCAAGCAUAUUAACUUACAGCCGCAUUACAAGUUGCAAGGGGUUAUUAAAGCAGCUGAUGUCUAUGAUUGCACCAACAGCUUAAUACAGGUUUGCAUUAAUAUACUGUGGCUUUAUUUGCAGCUCUCAUCCAACCCAUGUAGUAACACACACUCUGCAGUCAGCAAAGGUCUUUUACUGUGGUUUGUGAAAGGUACUUAAACUUCUGUUCUGCCACCCACCUGAGCCAUCUUCAUGUACUCUAUGUGAUCUUGCACUGCAACCUGCAGGUAAGUUGGGACUUUGAAUAUUUCCUGUUGGUGGUCCAUUAGAAAUGAAACUAAUCGUGUCGAAAGUAGCUCAUCAAGAUCUACUUCUUCUGCACAGCACAACACACAUCGAGAAAAGGUCUGUAUCAUCUACAAGUAUUUAGCAGAUCGUUAGGAAGUGCAGCAGUAUUUUUGUAAGGUAGAUCCCCAGCCCAGCAGCCACAAUUUUGUCCUACCAAGGAACGCGUGCCCAUGGCAUCGUGCAGCCGUGGCAUAUCCACGUUCUCGCUGAUCCGAGCGAUCAUGCGCAUCAGGAGCUGAAUCUUCCUGCGGUUUGCUGGGGGAAGCAGCAAACAGCAGAUCUGUAGGGCCUCAACAGCAAUCCUCUCCAGGUGAGGCUGAAGGAGAUCUACAAGUUGAUGGUAAUACAGUUGUCAUUAGGAAUUGAACAACUUCCCACAUUUUUAUUCAGUAAAAUAACUUUCCCCCUCCAA